GACGAACGCUGGCGGCGUGCUUAACACAUGCAAGUCGAACGGAAAGGCCCUGCUUUUGUGGGGUGCUCGAGUGGCGAACGGGUGAGUAACACGUGAGUAACCUGCCCUUGACUUUGGGAUAACUUCAGGAAACUGGGGCUAAUACCGGAUAGGAGCUCCUGCUGCAUGGUGGGGGUUGGAAAGUUUCGGCGGUUGGGGAUGGACUCGCGGCUUAUCAGCUUGUUGGUGGGGUAGUGGCUUACCAAGGCUUUGACGGGUAGCCGGCCUUGGAGGGUGACCGGCCACAUUGGGACUGAGAUACGGCCCAGACUCCUACGGGAGGCAGUAGUGGGGAAUAUUGCACAAUGGGCGGAAGCCUGAUGCAGCAACGCCGCGUGCGGGAUGACGGCCUUCGGGUUGUAAACCGCUUUCGCCUGUGACGAAGCGUGAGUGACGGUAAUGGGUAAAGAAGCACCGGCUAACUACGUG
rnacentral:rRNA from 1 species